UACGUAGGGUGCAAGCGUUAAUCGGAAUUACUGGGCGUAAAGCGUGCGCAGGCGGUUAUAUAAGACAGUUGUGAAAUCCCCGGGCUCAACCCUGGGAACUGGCAUCUGUGACUGUAUAGCUAGAGUACGGUAGAGGGGGAUGGAAUUCCGCGUGUAGCAGUGAAAUGCGUAGAUAUGCGGAGGAACACCGAUGGCGAAGGCAAUCCCCUGGACCCUGUACUGACGCUCAUGCACGAAAGCGUGGGGAGCAAA
rnacentral:rRNA from 1 species